rnacentral:tRNA from 1 species
CAAGAUAUAGCUUAAUAAGUAAAAGCAUCCGGCUUACACCCGGAAGAUUUCACCACCAUGGAUAUCUUGA